AUUGAACGCUGGCGGCAGGCCUAACACAUGCGAGUCGAGCGGAUGAAGGGAGCUUGCUCCUGGAUUCAGCGGCGGACGGGUGAGUAAUGCCUAGGAAUCUGCCUGGUAGUGGGGGAUAACGUCCGGAAACGGGCGCUAAUACCGCAUACGUCCUGAGGGAGAAAGUGGGGGAUCUUCGGACCUCACGCUAUCAGAUGAGCCUAGGUCGGAUUAGCUAGUUGGUGGGGUAAAGGCCUACAAAGGCGACGAUCCGUAACUGGUCUGAGAGGAUGAUCAGUCACACUGGAACUGAGACACGGUCCAGACUCCUACGGGAGGCAGCAGUGGGGAAUAUUGGACAAUGGGCGAAAGCCUGAUCCAGCCAUGCCGCGUGUGUGAAGAAGGUCUUCGGAUUGUAAAGCACUUUAAGUUGGGAGGAAGGGCAGUAAGUUAAUACCUUGCUGUUUUGACGUUACCAACAGAAUAAGCACCGGCUAACUUCGUG
rnacentral:rRNA from 1 species